GCCGAGGUAGCUCAGUUGGUAGAGCACAGCACUGAAAAUGCUGGUGACGUCAGUUCGAUUCUGACCCUCGGCA
rnacentral:tRNA from 1 species